CGAAUUCGAAAUAAAGCUGGUUGA
rnacentral:rasiRNA from 1 species